rnacentral:rRNA from 1 species
GAUGAACGCUGGCGGCGUGCCUAAUACAUGCAAGUCGAGCGAACGGACGAGAAGCUUGCUUCUCUGAUGUUAGCGGCGGACGGGUGGGUAAAACGGGGAUAACCUACCUAUAAGACUGGGAUAACUUCGGGAAACCGUAGCUAAUACCGGAUAAUAUUUUGAACCGCAUGGUUCCAAAGUGAAAGACGGUCUUGCUGUCACUUAUAGAUGGAUCCACGCUGCAUUAGCUAGUGGGUAAGGGAACGGCUUACAAAGGCAACGAUGCCUAUCCGACCUGAGAGGGUGGUCGGCUACACUGGAACUGAGGAUGGGUCGCGACACUGGGGGUAGGACGCAGUAGGGAAUCCUCCGGGAGGGGGGAGAGGCUGACAGAGCAAAGCCGCGGGAAUGAUGAAGGUCCUCGGAUCGGUAAACUAUGUUAUUAGGGAAGAAGAUAUGUGUAAGUAACUGUGCAGAUCUUGACGGUACCUAAGCAGAAAGCCACGGCUAACUACGUG